rnacentral:sRNA from 1 species
AUUUAAUUUGGUUUCAAGCCCAAGGCUAAUGCACAUGAAAUUUUCACCAAAUAAAAAAUACCUCAUGCGUUUUGUUCCAAAAAGCUAAUACUCAUCAAUUUUGGCAAAGAGGCAUAACUCAGGAAACUAGAUGCCAAAGGUUUAAAAUAACAUAUUUUUGGUGUGUAAGGCUAACAUGUAUAUGUUUUUGUCCUAAGGUUAAUACCCACCAAUUUUGAGCCCAACGGGUGAAAUUCCUGUAUUUUUUGGGUGAGACUUAACUUUACCGUCUUUAGGUCAAAGGCUAAUAUUCACUGAAUUUUUGGUGGAAGAAGUUAAUGUGUUUUCAGACACAAGGUUAAUACCCAUGAAAUUUUGAGUAAAAAACAAUUUCAUGUGUUUUUUUUAUCAAACACAUUUACUCAUGAGUUUCCCCUAAAUAUAACGGAAUUGUGCAUCGAUGGCUAGCAUGCAUACGUUUUUUAAGCCCAACGGGUAAAAUUCAAUUCCUGUAUUUUUGGCCGGAGACUAAAUUUCAGCAUUUUUUUGUCAAAAGGUUAAUCACCUAAUUUUAGCAAGAAGAAUAAUGUCAAUGUGUUUUUGGGCCCAAGCCUAAUGCUCGUGUAAUUUUGAGCCGAAGAAAAAAAGUUUCAUUCGGUUUUUUUGAAGGAUAUAACUCACGAAAUUAUAUGCUAAAGGGAUAAAAAUAAUAAAACUGUGUUGAAGGCAUGCAUACGCAUUUGGCAUAAGGUUAAUACCCAUAAAUUUUUAGGUCAAAAGCUAAAAACCAUUGAAAUCUAAACAUCAGGGAACGAAAGAAAGAAUGAUACGGUAUAUACAACAUUUGCCCUUAUCAGCCACACGGCAUUGUUAUUUCAGACCAUCCUUGUUUUCAAAUAAAUGAACAAAUGCUCUAAAGGGGUAAAAGAAAGUAGCAAAGUAAUCACUUUACACCAAGUCAUUUCUUUCCUUUGGCAUCUCAAAUCAACUGGCAGUGAUCUAUCUGUACAACGGCAUCCGCAUACUUCUUUCAUGUAAAAAAAGAAAAGAAAAGAAAAGGGACGCCGCUCCUUUGUUUCCUCUCUAGACAUCAUAGAUAUUAAAUACAAAAUGACAUGAAAAACAAAACAUGGCCAUAUGAUUGAUUUACACGAUGGACGCACCUCAUCUUUUACCCUUUUGUUCAGGUAUCAGAGCUCUACCUCGUGAAGAUCCUCGCCCAGGCCAUUGUUGAAUUGAAGUGAUGAGUUACUACUGGAACGGCUGUGGGAUUGUUUCUGUCCAGGAAUCAACGGAGACUGCAUCAUGGUCCGUUGUCCAUCUGGUGAUCUCGAAACAGCAUUGCCGCUCAACUGCUCUGAAUAUGCUCCACUCCAUGAUGCUGCUCGUGACCUUGAGAAUGAGCUGCCAUUCCCACUGCCAGAUGGGGUCAUGAUGUUGUCCAUACUUGGAUACCGCUGAAUAUUUGAUUGAACUGGUAUUGAUUGUACUGAUGGUGGUGGCGAAGCCGAGGAUUCCCGCAGAGCUAUCGUGGAAGAUGGUUGAUCCUGAUGAACAUUGACUGUUGGGUCAGGGAUCUGCUCUGACGCAACAGUAGCUGGAGUUGGCACAAAGAAAGUGGCACCAGACAGUGGAUUCAUGGAUGGGGUGGCUGGUUUAUUAUAUGACGGUCCAGUGGCACUUGCACCACCCUUGUUAAAUGUGUCGACGUAUCUACAUGGGGGCAAGGAAAUGAUAUAAGCCACUUGGUAUAUAAAGCAAACAGCGGCAAUAACUAAACAAAUUACCUUGAUCUAACACCCAUCCGUCCACGUGCUGAGAAUUGGUUCUGGCUAGGUGGCAUUGGUGGCAUCCCUGAACUAGGCCCAGAAGGAUUCAAAGGCCUUGCUUCUGAAAAUCCAUUAGCAGUAUAACUUACACUGCCUGGGCCAUUCGAACUCUGAUCUGGAAUACCGUUCUGGAACAAGGCCUUUGUUGGAGGUGGGGGAAGGGGAGGCUCCUCAGCAGGUAUGUCAGCACCUUCUUCCACCCACCGCUUCAGCUUCUCGUCAUAGUAGAACUUGUUUUGUUCCCCCAGCUUCGCCUUUAGGGCACAAAAGAAUUAGUUGUGUUACACAAAUCAAAAACUACUGUGACAUGCAGUUCGAAACCGGGAUCGGAUGAAUUUAAUGUUUUAGCAAGCACCUGAUGAUGAGAUCUUGAAACAAGUCCCAUUGUCUUCUGCAGCAACCAUCCAAAACGUGAACUACCUGAACCUGAUGUGCUUUGUGCAUUAUCUAAUCCUGCACCCUGUGAGAGUUCCAAUUUCAGAAAAGAGAAAUGAAACACAUCAAGAAAACAUUCCAGUCUAAGAAGCACCUGGUUGGGGGUUCUGCCAAAGUCUGGUUCAGAGACACUUCUGUUAUGUGUGACUUUUCUGUCAGGGCCAGUAUUUCCUGACAUUUCACUCAUAGAUUGCUCUGAAACAGAAGACAUCAAAGAAGACAUAGCCAUCACUGGCUGAUUAUUCACAAAAUUUGUAGCUGCAGGAGCCGAAUAGGAAUCUCUUUCGGUUAAGGAGCCCUGUGGCACUGGUGACAACGCUGAAGGUUGUGUACCCAUCAUGCGGGACAAAGAUUUAUCAAGUGAUGUGAAAAGUUUUCCAACAAGCUUUGCAGGGGCUAGAUUUGUACCAUAACCACCCUGAAUAACAAUGAGUUGAUCAUCAGUCAACAUGGAAGAAACAGUCUGCUCUAGUAAAUACGAGAAUCAGCAAGCAACAGCUACAAUAAAUUCAAACCUGCUGGUAGGUGCGUAUCCGCUCCUCUAGGGAUGAAAACAACUGCUUCCAUGCCUCUAAUUCAGGUGCACGGCCAGAUGCUUUCAGCACCUUCAAGCAUGCUUGACAAUACCUAAAGAGAGUAGUUUAAAGUCAAUGUGUGUAACUAAGAAACCAGGGGAAAAACUGGAAUAGUAACUCAGCAAAUUACCUUAAUGAAUCAGAAACCUUCCCAACCUCCACAAGCAUGUAUGCAUAUAUCAGCUUAUAUGGUUGAAAUGGCAAGAGGAUGUACUGAGAAUUACCAAGAACUUUUGCAUAUUCAUACACCUCUGUUCGCUGUUUGUUACAUUGUGAGGACAUUUGUUUAGAAACAGCAAAUGACAAAAGCAAAAAAAAAAACAGUAAUAAUAUGAAUUAAGGCCGAGGACAAUCAUCAUCUAAUCAUGCCAUUUUCUGAGUAAGAAGUGGUCCAAAUAGAGGGACUGUAAAGCUUUUGACUAAAGUAAGUCAUGCAAAAAAUAACACUAGAAUUUGACACAUCUAAAAACAUAUGUGAUACGCAUGCUCCUCUGCAAAAAUGCGAAACCAUCUACAUUAGAUACAUAAUGAUUCAUAUCUGAGAUAUUGUUGGAGCUUAUAGCAUAAUGCGUGUCCCAUAAUAAUAUCCUACCAUUCAUCUGACUGAUGUAUGUCCAAUGCAACAUGUAGCUAAAGAUUAUCAUCACAGAAAGCACAAACAUCGAAUAGAUGGCACAGGUAUAAAAGACCUGGAUAGCUUCAGGGCUGGUAAAUGUACGAGGACAUCUCAAAUGGUCUGCACCAAUUAGACACAUUCUUGAACUUUCUGAAUACGACUCGAUAUUUAGUUCCGCAGCUAAAUAGCAUGAAUGAGCAGCUGCCACCUGCAUAAAAAUAUGUAAGGUAUUUGACAAAACCAUGUCAAUAAAUCAUAUACUCAACUAGCCAGAUUCAAACCUCAUUUUUCUCUUUCCAGAGGCAAUCUCCAAGGUGCGUAAUUACAAGAUCAUCACCUUUCGUCCUGUUUGCAGUUAUAAUAGCCAAAUUCUCUUGCCAAUCAUCCAGCAUGCUCUUAGAAUUCACAGCCUAUCCAACAAAAAUGCUAAGUUAGGUUCAACCCUAAUGAUCCACACACGAUAAAAGAUGAGAACUAAAAUGUAUGAAAAUCAUGGAAUGGGAAGUCAAGAACAAUCAAAUGAUAUACAUCACAUGACAUAUAAACACGAAAUGAGUAUAGAACUAUAGGUCAUAAACAACAUAGAAUUAUUAUAGAGUCUAAAUAGAAGC